AUGCAUAUUAAAAUUGCAUCGGCGUUUUACAUAGCUGUAUGGACUGUAUUAGUUUUUUCUGCAGUCGUCCUAACAGAAUUUGAUUUGUCUAAAGCACAGAAAGUGCAUUUUUGCUUGGAAGAAGCGUUCAAUUUGUACACCACUUAUAAUAAUGCCAGCAAGUGUGGUC